ensembl:snRNA U6 U6 spliceosomal RNA
AUGCUUACUUAGGUAGCACAUAUACUAAAAUUGGAACAAUGGGGAGAACAUUAGCGUGGCCCCUGCAGAAGGAUGGCACACACAUUCAUGAACACUUCCAUAUUUUU